rnacentral:rRNA from 1 species
CAAGCUUCACCCCCCCUGCUCUCGCCCCUCAAUCUAUAUACCACCGUCUUCAACUUACCUAUUGAUAGACCCUCAGCACGUACAACUGACAUCUACCUCAAACACGUCAGGUCAAGGUGUAGCUAAUGAGCAGGAAGAGAUGGGCUACAUUUUCUUCAUACAAGAAAUAACCAACAGCGCUAUGAAACCCCGCCAAAAGCAGGAUUUAGCAGUAAGCCUGAAAUAGACUAAGCCAGACUGAAACAUGCUCUGGGAUG